UUCUACCCUUCCAAAAGUUUCCAUUGUUCCUAAAGAACCAGAGAGAUCCCGAGAUGUUCAAGAUGAUGCUCUUUCCUGUCCACAGCUACUAGCAGCUGCUCAAACGCUCUGUGACAUUGCAGUCCAAUCCGCAAACCACAACAACCCAAAUGGAAUCCUCAGAU